GCGGUUUUUUUUUGUAAAAUUAGCAAAAAUGUUCUGUUUUUUCCGAACGUACUGUUUUUUGUUCUGAAAUUUAGCACCAAGCAGUUUAAAAAGUUUCUAUUACUGGACAGCCCUUUAAUGAUUAAGGUAUUAUCAGUAUUAAAUUGUCAUCCCUGAUUUGAACAGCUGAUUGCGGGUUUGAAUUAUUUUGCUUUCUGUAAUGUUCUAUUGACAAACAACUACCUUUACAAAAUGCCUCCUUCCCGCAGAAAAUGCGUUUUUAAUAAACAACUACAAGAAGAAUACACCUUCAUAAAGGAAAUUAACAGCGGUACAGUGAAAUGUACAAAAUGUUCUGCAGUUUUCUCUAUUGCCAAUGCAGGUAAACACGAUGUGCUGCGCCAUUUACAAUCUCAGAAACAUCGAAAAGCCGAUAUUGCAGCUUCUAGCAGCAAACCCGUGAUGAGCUUUGUAAGGACACGUACAAUAGACGAUCAGCGAAGAAAAAGCAGCGUAAAUGAAGGCAACUGGGCAUAUCACACUGAUUUUAAUGCUAUCAAUUUUAUUGCCGUUUUUUCCGACUGCUCAAAUCAUGGAAGUAUGAGAGUGUGUCCUGUUCUUGUUCGAUAUUUUGUGCCUGAGAAGGGUGUGCAAUUAAAAAUAUUGGAAGUAAAUGAUCUCCGUGGAGAAUCGUCAGAUAUACUAACAUAUUAUAUUUUUGAUCUCAUGAAAAAGUUUGCAUUAAGUGAGAAGUUACUUGCUCUUUGUGCAGAUAACACUAAUUGUAACUUUGGAGGAGCUGCAAGACGCGGGAUCAUGCAUUUAAAGAGGUUGAGGUAAUGGAAUGGAUUAUUCUGCGCACAGUGCCAUCUUGGGAUGAGGUUGAAAAAAAUUUAGUGUAUAUUAUGGAAAAGAGAAGCAACAGUAAUAUUAAUGACAGUGAAUUGUUUGAUGAAUUCACCUGCGUUAAAAGUUAUGUAACUCCAGAUAAACUUAUUCAAUCGGAGGAAAAUAAAAAGCCAGUUGACCAAAAAUGGA